rnacentral:tRNA from 1 species
GUGGGUGUAGUUCAAUGGUAGAACACCGCCCUGUGGCGGCGGUUACGGGGGUUCGAUUCCCCUCACUCACCCCA